AUGACGCCAGGAUACAACUUACAUACCCAUAAGGUUUAAGGUUGACUGGUAUCGUAUCCUUACAAAACUAUUACAGCAGAAUGUGAGUUUUUAUCUCUAAACUUGAAUUUGGACUCAAGUAUCCUUUAAAUUAUACCAUUGCUAAUAUCAGUCAAACUGUGGUAUUAAAUCUGAAUUAAGUACUACUAACAAAUCAUAGUCCCCACCACUUGACAAUGAAUGAAAUGAUUCAUAUUGCGAAAAAAUAUGUAUCUUGUAAAAGACAUUCUAUAAUAACUUAGCAAUAAAAAGGAUUACAUACAUGUAAUAUUAUUGAAUAUAUACUAGAAAAUAAUGAUGUAUUCAACUCAUCUCCUUUUAUAAAAUAUGAAAUAUAAAUUUACAACAUAUUUUCAAAAAUGUUACAAGACUACAUUCAUUUGGUUAAUUCCUUUGUUUGUGCAUUUGUUUGAAGGGAUUAGAAAACAUGGCGGAGCUACUUACACGUAAAGACAAGAAACAAAUAUCACAGUGGAUUGGCAGGGACAGUCAGUUUGAGCUCCUAUACAAAAUAAGCCGUGACGGGAUGUCUUAUCAGAGGUUCCAUGAGUUAUGUGACAACAAAGGACCCACUGUGACAAUCUUUUACAACACAGACAACAAUGUGUACGGAGGGUACCUGUCAGACAACUGGGGGAGUACUCGGAGCUGGUGUACAAACCAGAAAGCGUUCUUGUUCAAAUUACAUUCUGCUGGUAACUGGAAACCAGUGAUGUUUCCUUAUACAAGUGGAGAAACUCAUUAUAAAGCAGGCAAUCACGGGCCAUGGUUUCAUUCGUUGGCUUCAUGCUCAAAUAAUGUUUUGAAAAAAACAGUGGGCGGUUUCUAUCAACUUUUUUCUGAAUAUGAUUUCUUUGACGGCCAAAGCUUUGAUAUGAAAGGAGAGACCGCCCAGUCCGUGGCAAACGGUCACAAUAAUGUCACCGAUCUGGAGGUCUACCUGGUCAAAGGUAAUCGUUAUUACUAGAUAGUCAAAGGUCAGUUUAUAUUCAUGUAAGUAAAUUCAUGGACGUCAUCAUCAUGAAAACGUUAGAAAAAGUGUAUCAGGUUUGUAAAUGAAGAUAAUUUGUCAAUUCACAUGCAUUAAUUCAUAUUGCAAUGACUUCAAUAGUUGAGGUAGCAUGUAAAUAUACGUCUCAUUUGCUAAAGUAGUUGUUGGGUUCUGUUAUCAGUAUCUCAGAACAAAAAUAUAUGUGUAAAUUUACUGCAGAAAUGAAAUGUGUGUACAAUAUACACGAGAGCUUGUUAUAAAUUGCCACUGUUGUUGAUGGAUUGCCAGAUGAUGAACUUGAAUCUCCAUGGAGGGACUCACAAGACUGGAGUUCACAGGUAUGUCAUUGAAAAAACACACCUAAUAUUCACUAGUAACACUUCAUUAACUUUUACUCGAACAUUUCAAAUAAAACUUACAACAACCACUCAUUUCCAGUAAAUAAGAUCAUUGUCUGCGUUAUUUCGCCGUUUAAACUUCAGAUUAAUUGUUGCAGUACUGUUCUGUAAUUAAUUAUCUUAAACUACAUAUUUUCACAACAUAUAACAAGAUAUAGUACUAUUAUAUUGCAAUCUCGAUGGCGCUUUGCAUAUCAAAAAUAAAGAAAUAUCAGUAGGUUAUAAUCUGAUUAUUUUAAUUAUCCGAAGAAAUACAACUGACAUAUAUUUUGUUUCUUGUGUAAAUGUACAAUUUUUCAGACUUUUCAAGAAUUAAAAGAAUUUGUUGCAAAUUACGAUCCCCUCGAGGAGAUGAAGAUUCCUGAGGUCAACAUCCUACUGAUAGGACAGGUCGGAGCCGGAAAGUCUAGCUUCCUCAACACCAUCAACUCAAUCUUCAGGGGCGGUAUAUCCUCCCGCGCAUGCACAGGAAGUGCCGAGAAUAGCCUCACUAAACGUUUUGAAAAAUUCCGUGUUCGUGACCCUUCGACCAAGAAAUACCUCUGUUUUCGGAUUUGUGACACAAGGGGGGUUGAGGAGGGACUGUCCAUCAAAAGUGAAGACCUGGGCUUUAUUCUGGACGGAAAUCUCCCAAAUCAUUACACGUUUAACCCUGUAGAGAAAGCAUCAACAAAAACUCCAGGCUUUGUCAAAGAGCCCACAGUGAAGGACAGGAUACACGUGGUAGUGUUUGUACUUGAUGGAAGUACCCUGGAUGUUCUUUCUGAGGGGGUCGUCUCAAAACUCAAGGAUAUCAAAAGUCUGGUAGUGGAUAGGGGUGUAUCCCAGUUGGCUUUUCUAACAAAGAUGGACAAGAUCUGUGAAACAGUAAACAAAGACGUCAGCAAAAUGUUCACGAGCAGUGUCGUAGAAGAUGCCGUCAAUAAAGCUGCUGAUAUUAUCGCUAUCCCAAGAUCACAUGUACUUCCGGUAAAAAAUUAUGAGAAGGAAUCUCAACUGAAGACGGAUAUAAACAUUCUUGCCCUGACAGCUCUACGACAGGCGCUCAUGUUUGCAGACGACUUUCUGGAAAACCAGUAUGAACUGGAACAAGAAAACUCGCAGACGUUUAACACGCGGGACAAAGGAUGGUUCUGGUGCUACCUGGUUUAGUGGAAUCGCCUAUAACUAAAUGAAUUUUCUUAAGAGUAAUUCCCGCCUGUUCUCAUUUUGGAGAUCAAACAAUAUAGUAUUUAUCUGAGCAUUUUAUUUCAGAGAAUUUUUGCUUUAUUGUGAUUAAAAAUAAAAGGAGACUUUAAAAACC
rnacentral:misc_RNA from 1 species